CCAAAUACUAAAAUGAAAUACUCUUGAAAUUGGGCAUAGUUCUCCCCGCCCCUCUCUCUCUGCAAAUGCUAAAAACUCAACUAGUGAUCUGCAGAAGCUCCUCUACCACACCCUUCCAUUUCAAACCCUAAAUCAUAUUCUCACCAAUUUCUCUCUCUCUCUCUCUCUCCCCUCCAAUUUCUCUUUCUACAACCCACAACGGCCAUGGCUCUUCUCUCACCAAAUUCAUCGAUCUAGAGCUGCCAUGGAGACUAGCAAAAGGCGAGAGCGGGUUUUUAGAGACUUUCAUUACCUUUUACCCGUUCCAAACUCGCUCAACACUCACCAUGAUGGAUCGGUAUCAGAGGGUAGAGAAACCGAGGCCAGAGAUGCCGAUUAACGAGAAUGAGAUUGGUAUAACCACUCAGGGGAGGAUGAGGAACUAAAUUAUUUAUGCUAUCACUCUGUUUCAGGCAUUCGGCUCAGGAUAAGUGGGUUUGUGUUUGCUUCCUUGGAGCUUCGGUUUUGGGCAUCGUAUUGAGGCCAGACUUUAGCUAGGACAAUGUUUGGCAUGAUUUACUAUAGAAGGGCAUUAAUGUUACAGAGUUUCCUGUAAAGAAGAUCUCUGGGAGGUAUUUUGUUUUGUGAAUUCUUAUCAGUCCUAAGUACUAUUUGAAGUGAAGGCAUAGAUAUUCUUUCUCAUCUAUUUCUUGUAUCAACAUAGGAUGAUUAUUCUCAAGAAAAAGUCCUAACAACAUAAGGUUUUUAGUCUUCCUUUGAAGCACAAGCACAAGCUGACUUAAAGUUCACUUAUGUUAUUUCUUACCAAAUUAACUUUUAAUCUUAUAUGAACUUACUUGUUUCUUUUUUACCUCGGCCCCUUUGUGUUCACAGACUAUAAUAGAAUUCUUGGUGUGAAUUAAAAUAGUCUUAUAUUUGAUCUUGUAGCUCAAAGGUUUUUAACAUUGUAAUUUUGAGGCUUACUGGGCUAGUGGCUCCAUAGUGUUAGGGGGAAUGUGAUGUCAAUGCCAUGCGCUCGGGCUUCUCAUCUGAAGUGCCUCUGUCUUGAAUAUUCUAGUACAGGAAAAAUAAUUUUUUUUUUUUGUAUAUAAUUCUAGAAACAAUAUAUCUAUAUAAUAAAGCAGAACGAAUUUUGAAAAUAUGUUAGACACAACUGUCCUACUAGGACAUUUCAAUG